CUGUCCUCACCAGAUUCUGGGCCCCACGACCUGUGUUGGAGCCUGCAGACCUGCGUGGGCAUGGUCGUCCCUCUCCCGUUUGCCUGUGAAAGGAAGAAUCUGGGAGAAGACACAACCAGGACAGCCAACCUAAACUGGCCAAAGGGGUAUUCCAUACCAUAUGAUGUCAUGCUCAGUAUAUAAACUAGGGGGAAAGCUGGUUGAGGGCCGCUGCUCGGUAACAGGCUGGUUAUUGGUUGGCAGGUGUCACACUGCCUUGAUGUGUGUUGUAUGGAUUAGCAAAACAUCAGAGUCUCAGAGGAGCUGUGCUUUGCUGAUAAAGACAUCUCUUAUGACACCAAUACUACUCCCUGUGAGGCUGAUAGGAAGGAUACCAUCAUGAUACCAUAGCAUAAGAACUGCUUUGGUAAUGUUUGAUUCAGAAGCCUGUAUGAUUAUAGUACUGAUACAAUAAGGUUAAUGGUAUGAACUUGGUUUUGGGGCUUACAGAUGAGUGGAAUCCGUUCUUCAAAGUGGUAAUCUUCAUGAGGAGACCUCACCUUUGGCAAAAUGAUUGCUCCUAUGAAGCUCUGCUGAACCUGGGGGAAAAUUGGAGUUUUGCUGUACUGAUAUCCAUCGGAAUGUUGCCUUGUACUCUUCACCAGCAGAUUUAAUUUAAAGAAAAUAUCUGUUAUAAA